AUUGAACGCUGGCGGCAGGCCUAACACAUGCAAGUCGAGCGGUAGAGAGAAGCUUGCUUCUCUUGAGAGCGGCGGACGGGUGAGUAAUGCCUAGGAAUCUGCCUGAUAGCGGGGGAUAACGUCCGGAAACGGACGCUAAUACCGCAUACGUCCUACGGGAGAAAGUGGGGGCUCUUCGAACCUCACGCUAUCAGAUGAGCCUAGGUCGGAUUAGCUAGUUGGUGAGGUAAUGGCUCACCAAGGCGACGAUCCGUAACUGGUCUGAGAGGAUGAUCAGUCACACUGGAACUGAGACACGGUCCAGACUCCUACGGGAGGCAGCAGUGGGGAAUAUUGGACAAUGGGCGAAAGCCUGAUCCAGCCAUGCCGCGUGUGUGAAGAAGGUCUUCGGAUUGUAAAGCACUUUAAGUUGGGAGGAAGGGUCGUUACCUAAUACGUGGCGAUUUUGACGUUACCGACAGAAUAAGCACCGGCUAACUCUGUGCCAGCCGCCGCGGUAAUAC
rnacentral:rRNA from 1 species